GUUAGGAAUAUUGGACAAUGGGCGCAAGCCUGAUCCAGCCAUGCCGCGUGAGUGAUGAAGGCCUUCGGGUUGUAAAGCUCUUUAGCCGAUGAUUAUAAUGACUGUAGUCGGAAAAUAAGCCCCGGCUAACUUCGUGCCAGCAGCCGCGGUAAUACGAAGGGGGCGAGCGUUAUUCGGAAUCACUGGGCGUAAAGCGUGCGUAGGCGGCUUUGCAAGUUGGGAGUGAAAGCCCAGGGCUCAACCCUGGAAUUGCUCUCAAAACUGCAAGGCUCGAAUUCGGGAGAGGAUAGCGGAAUUGUCAGUGUAGCAGUGAAAUGCGUAGAUAUUGACAGGAACACCAGUGGCGUAAGCGGCUUUCUGGACCGAUAUUGACGCUGAGGCACGAAAGCGUGGGGAUCAAACAGGAUUAGAUACCCGUGUAGUCC
rnacentral:rRNA from 1 species